AUAUUAAUCAACGGUGAGCUUCAGAAAAAUAAAUGCCUCCUCCUGAGAAAAGUACAAGAAGCAACGGCUGAAAUAGUUACCCACAUUGAAAGAAUCUACAAAAGAAGAAUUACCAAAUUGAAUGAAAGAAUAGAUACAACAGAGAUAAAAAUUAAGGCUAACACAUCAUUGGUAAGUGUACUGUAUUGCUCGAGUUCUCUGUUUUAUUUCUAUUUUUCCUAAAGGUGAUGCCCACUAAAGGUCUUGAGCAAUGAUAAGGAAGAAGUGGGUUAAUGGACCUACAGCUUUAGAGAGCCAAGCGUAAUUUUUUUAGUAAAACCGAAUCUUGUUCCUCUAUAUUUAUGAUGAUGUUGAUUGUGAUGAUGAUAAUGAUGAAGACGACAACAACGACAAAGAUUAUGAAAAUGACAUUCAUUUUAAUUCAGAUUCUAAUAUGGAUAUGGAGAAAACAGCUUCACCGGUACCUAACUGCUCAAUCAGUUGAAAAAACGGAAGAUAUGUGGACUCUGCUACAAAUCUGUACCUUUUGAACAAACACAGUGACUGGCCUACGUUAGGUGUUUUAAUGUAAAAUGGACAAUAAGCCCCGACGUUAAGCAGCUCUUUGACUAAAAUCAAAGAUGAUGAAAAAGAUUGCCUUAUGAACAUUACCUAGUUUCGAGUAGUAUUUUUUUUUUAUUUGGUUAUUUCAAUUUUUACAUGUAAACUUUUAUUGAAUGUAUUCGAUAAAAGGCGAUUUCCAUGUGAACGAUAAUGAUUGCCAAAAUCAAGGAUGAUGAAGAUUUUUGACUCAUGAACAUGACCUAGUUUCAAGUGUUUUUUCAAAAUUGCUUUUUUAAUAUUUUCAUGAGAACUUGUAAUAAAUGUAUGCCAAAUCAA